CAAGGAACUGUUUCCCUAAAAGGUAAGUCCACUGGGACAGCGGAGUGCACGCAUGAGCAGAGGAGAUACGUGUAAUAUAAGUGCCCACUGGUUUUCCUCAAGGCCCUAUCGCAUAUGGCAUUCACCAUGCCCCAUGUGCACAAGAUUCAACUAUACCCAUGAUGCAUGAUGCCCGGAAGCUCAACGAGAUGCAAACCAAAAGCACGGUGGCCGAUUCAAAUGUCUUUGGCAACAUGAUUCAGCAGCACACAGUUUGGGAAGCAUGAAAACAAGACAAUACCAUGAGAUGAUCAUUCCGGAUGAGGAAACCGAUUCAGAGAGAUGAAGCAACACCUACAGGGACUGCAGCUGACCGAUGGCUGCCACAGUGGGGAAACAACUUUAGGUCCGAGGAAGACGGUGAUAGAAAAACCAUGACGCGCCCAGAUCGGAGGAGGCUUUAGAUCAUCAAGGCUGCGGUCUGAUUUUUUUCUUCUAAGAAGCACUA
rnacentral:lncRNA from 1 species